UGACAGAAGUUUCGCUCUCGAUUUAUGACUCGCCGAUAUACAUAUGUGCGCGCCGGACGAGGAAGAAAGUCGGGAGUGCCGAAUUGUGCGCGCUGGCGAUGCUUUCACCCUUGCGUAAUUCCGGCGGUUUUGGUAACGGCUGUAAGUGUAACGCUUCCGCCACACGUCGCGGGAGGUGACGGAUCGGGAAUAUCAAGUGUAAGGAUGAUUCAUUUUCGGAAGAGUCCCGUAUUUUCGCCUUCGGGUGUGAGGAAGUCGCGCGAUACAGUCGUCGCGCUUAUUGUUUCUGUGACACGAAGAAUUAGAUAGCUUCCGCGAUAGCGUGAAAUCAUAAAUUCCAGAAGGAAAAAAUAAUUCGUAUGUAAGUCAAAUAGCACCAAACUCCACGUCAUACGUUGUUAUAAUUAAUAAUAAAAUAUAAAGAAAUGAAGUCUUA